AUACGGAGGGCGCAAGCGUUGUUCGGAAUGACUGGGCGUAAAGCGCGUGUAGGCGGUUGGACAAGUCGGGUGUGAAAUCCCCGAGCUCAACUCGGGAACUGCAUUCGAAACUGUUCAGCUAGAGUCCCGGAGAGGAAGGCGGAACUCCCAAUGUAGGGGUGAAAUCCGUAGAUAUUAGGAAGAACACCGGCGGCGAAGGCGGCCUUCUGGACGGUGACUGACGCUGAGACGCGAAAGCGUGGGGAGCAAACAGGAUUAGAAACCCCAGUAGUCC
rnacentral:rRNA from 1 species